GGCAGGAGGGGAAUAGCCCUGUGAAGGCUCUUGCUGGAGAUCAGAUAGCUGGCUUAGUACAAAGGUUAUGGUGAUUGCUACUUCUGCCAUGUAAAUAACAUCUUCCCCCCAGAGAUGCUGGAAGCAGCCCAGGAGCACUUGGAGCAGCCCCCGAGACCCUGGGAGGAGCCCCAGAGCAUCAGGAGUGACCUGAGAGGACCCUGGGCAGACACGUACAUGGCUCAUCCCCCACACUGGAAGCCAGAAUGCAGGAGGUUUAUGCAGUUCGGUUUGAGAUAGCUGAGUAAUGCACAGGCUUUAGGGUCCAGAUUUAUCCCACCUAAUUAUAGACAUUGAUUUCAAAAGCUAACUCGGGGCUGUGCUCAUACCAAGAGUCAGUGGAAAGGGGUGGCUCUGCCCAUUCCAGCUCUGCAUAGCACUCUAACAACACCUUUCUGCUCUCUGUAAAGGUGUUUAAAGUGCCCGAAUCCAAAAUCUCAGUAUCUCUGAGGUAUCAAAGGCAGCCAGGAUGAAUCUGGAUCAGACUUGCUGAAGAUUUCAUACAAGGCUGUAAUCAUUCAGUAAAGACAGCUUUUCCUCCAGGAUGCAAUGCCAUCGCUUCAGAGUAACAUUCAAAAGGAAUUCUGGCUUAUUCCCGAUUACAAAGAGACUGGAACAUCGUUUGUGUUUUGCUGUCUAGGAAAGCACACUCAGCAAAAAUUCUCAUCAAGACAUACUCAAAACAGCAUUAGGCAGCUCCUGUGCUCAUGGAAAACCAGAAUGGAGCAGGGAGAGCCACUGCAGGGGUGGCUGGAGGUUUGCUGGUACAAGUGCUGCUGCAGUUAAUGCAGUGAAAUGCCAGUUCUGAGCUCUCUGUGAGGAGGAACACAGCCAAGCUGCCAGGAAUCUCCAUGGAGAGCUGCUGGAGCUCUGACUGUCUCACCCUGUGACUUCUAAUGCUGUGGCAACCAAGCAACCGGAUUAGUGUGUAGCCGUAGAGGCACUGCUGCAGAUUGCCAGCUAUGGUUGGAAAGCAGUUGGGGUAGCAGAGGAGAGAAGAAUCCUACCCAUAUGGGGAGGUAAAAUCUGAAGCCCUGAGUUUGAGAGGGACACUGCAGAGUGAAUGUGAGUAGAAGCCUGCCUCCAGAAUGGAAGAGAUAAUGGUGUUGGGUCGUCCCAGGUUUAUGACAACACUUAAGUAUGACCUGGGAAGAGAAAGAUAAGCACCAUCAAGACUGCCCAGCCCAAGCCCAGUGCACUGGGAGCCCUUAUGCUGGGGGCUGCAGCUCGAGGCUUGCCUGAGUCCCUCCUACCUUCUUCAGAUGGUUGGAGCAAAAAACACAUCAAAGAUGUAGACAUGUCUUUCAUCAACUGAAUACCAGCAGCCAGGUUAUCUGAAGUCAUUUUCUGUCUGCCUUCCACUGGGGAGAAAGUGCCUUCAGGGUAUCUCAUUGUGUACCCUGAAAGUACGCAGCAAAACAGCUCUGGAGUAAACAGAGGCAAACCCAGCACCCCCCAUCCUCCUCACUGGGACAUGCUUAUGCACAAUAAACCGCCCCCCUGUGAUCUCUUGCCAAGAAUAACAUAGACAGUCUAUUAAAACGUCUUUAAUACCAUGAUAUAAUUAAAAAUAUCUAAUGUGCAACUCCAAGAAA